CUCAUAUUUGUUUCUCACCUUUAUUGUAUAAUAAUUCUAAGCACAUAACUGUCCCCCUUAUUGUAUAGUAAUUCCAACUACAUAACUGUCCUAUUAUUACUUAACUGAGAUCACAUUCCCAAUCAUUGCCACAACUCCUGAAUCUUGUUCCAUUUCUCCCACAACCAGGCUAAUUUUACCCUUUCUUCAGUGACAGAAGAGGCCUGGGCUAUGGCUGAGCCUAAAUAUGUUUGCUAUUUCAGGUGACAUUUAAUGAUGUGGCUAUAGACUUCACUCAUGAAGAGUGGGGAUGGCUCAGUUCUGCUCAGAGGGACUUAUACAAGGAUGUGAUGGUCCAGAAUUAUGAGAACCUGGUCUCUGUAGGUAAGGAUAUUACCCCUUCCACUCCAGUAGGGGACACCUUUCUUUUGCCACCCUGAAUUGCUGGAGACCCUCCUAAGUAAAUGGCUGAAUUUCUGUAGCAUGUUCCCAAGGAAAUGUGCAGCUCUGUUGUGCCCUGCCUGAAGCUUAUCUUUCCAUUUCGAUGAAUACCCUUCAUCCCUUCCUGUGGUCCCUCUUGUGAUGGCCUCUCAUAAUAGAGGACCACGGCUUAAACAAUUCUGUAUUCUUCCUGUAAGCAGGUCUUUCUGUAACUAAGCCAUAUGUGAUCACGUUAUUGGAGGAUGGAAAAGAGCCCUGGAUGAUGGAGAAAAAACUGUCAAAAGGUAUGAUUCCAGAUUGGGAAUCAAGAUGGGAAAACAAGGAAUUAUCAACAAAGAAGGAUAAUUAUGAUGAAGAUUCACCCCAAACAGUAAUAAUAGAAAAAGUUGUAAAACAAAGUUAUGAAUUUUCAAAUUCUAAGAAGAAUUUGGAAUAUAUAGAGAAGUUGGAAGGGAAGCAUGGAAGUCAGGUAGACCAUUUCAGACCAGCAAUUCUCACCUCUAGAGAAAGCCCCACUGCAGACAGUGUUUACAAAUACAAUAUAUUUAGAAGCACCUUUCAUUCAAAGUCUACUCUUUCUGAACCACAAAAAAUUUCUGCUGAAGGGAAUUCACACAAAUAUGAUAUAUUAAAGAAGAACUUACCAAAAAAGUCAGUUAU
rnacentral:lncRNA from 1 species